rnacentral:rRNA from 1 species
UACGAAGGGAGCGAGCGUUGUUCGGAAUCACUGGGCUUAAAGCGUGCGUAGGUGGAUUGGUAAGUAAGGAGUGAAAUCCCAGGGCUUAACCCUGGAACUGCUCUUUAGACUGCCUGUCUGGAAUUCGGAAGAGGUUGGUGGAACUCCCAGUGUAGAGGUGAAAUUCGUAGAUAUCGGGAGGAACACCUGUGGCGAAGGCGGCCAUCUGGACGGUGACUGACGCUGAGACGCGAAAGCGUGGGUAGCAAACAGG